AGCUCCGUGAGCAUAUAUCUAUGCUGCUGCGGUUAAAAAGCUCGUAGUUGGAUCUGCGUGUUUAGCGUGCGGUGCGGCCUAUGGCCGUUACUGCAUUGCGACACAGUUGCCGCUGGUUUGCCGUCGAUGUCCUUCACCGGGUGUCGGCGGCGGCCAGCAAGUUUACUUUGAACAAAUCAGAGUGCUCAAUACAGGCGUCUCGCUUGUAUGUUUUUGCAUGGAAUAAUAGAAUAGGACUUCGGUUCUAUUUUGUUGGUUUUCGGAACGCGAAGUAAUGAUUAAGAGGGACAGACGGGGGCAUUCGUACUGCGACGUUAGAGGUGAAAUUCUUGGAUCGUCGCAAGACGGACUACUGCGAAAGCAUUUGCCAAGAAUGUUUUCAUUAAUCAAGAACGAAAGU
rnacentral:rRNA from 1 species